GCUAAGAGUGGGUAUAUUUAGCUAAGGUAGAGCUUAAGGUACAACUUACGAACGACGUAGCGUUGAGAAGGAAACGCACCACAUCUGAAGAUUGGAAAGGAAUUUAAAACAUGUAAACUAUAGAUAGUAUUAUUAUUCAAGAUAAUAAUGAGGACUUUCGGCAUGUGGAGAAACUUUUUGUUCGCCUGCUAUGUAGUAGGGUUCUGUCCAUCCUUAGCACAGACACCAGGACAGACCAAACAGGUGAAAGGCACUGUGGGAGGAUCUGUCACAUUUCUGGCUCCAGUGUUGAAAACUGGCAGUCUGACAUAUAAGCCCCUUGGAUCUGCAGCCAUGGUGCUGGAUGGUAACAGUAACACAGAGCUUAUACCGCAGUUAACAGGCAGACUGCAGUGGGGCAGUCAGACUGGACUCUUCACCAUCACCCAUCUGAGGUCAGAGGAUUCCGGGAUGUAUGUAGUGGACUGUAAUGAUGAGCAGAAUAAAAUAAUCACAGGAUUCCAACUGGACGUCUAUAAGAAUGUGUCAAAACCCACAGUUACGUGGAUACAAUUAGGGAUAAAGAACUGCUCAGUGCUGUGCUCUGUGGAGAAUGGAAGAGAGGUCACUCUAUCCUGGCAGAGAGAGGGGGAGAUGCUGUCCCACUCCAGCAGCCCUGAUAUGGACACUGCUUUGUCUCUCCUUAUGAAGUUAGACAGAGAGGGAAACACCUACUGUGUGGCAAAGAACCCUGUCAGCUCACAGCGCUACAUGCUGGAGAUACCAUCGAACUGCACUAAGGAUUCAGAUCAGAAAUUGCCAGGCAUUCCCAGGAAUUACACCAUCGUCAUAGCUGUAGCAACGUGCUUACUGCUUUGUGUAAUAAUUGUGAUGGGAAAAACAUUUUAUUUGCAAAGAAAAUGCCUUUUUACACAAGGCAGGUAUUUAACAAUUUUCCUGGAAGAAAUGUCUAUUCACCUGCAUAUACCCAUGUUCUUGGCAGUAUCUUCCAUCAGUCUAUUCCCCUGCACAGAUAAAAAAGCACAAAAAUACCAGCAUAAUGAAAGGCACCAAAACUAUCCACACCUCUCAGUUGAUUCAACAUAAUUACAGAGGCUUACAGUUUGGUGACAUUCCUCUGCCAGACUGUAUCUUUCCAGUUACCCAGUACCAUAUUGGGAGCAGACAGUGAUUCUGAACUCAGUAUCAUUAUGGGAUAAGUGAGCAGACAGACAACAGGCUGACAUCACAUCACCUUUCCAAGAGAACAUACAUUACCCUCUUUUCCCGUGGCAGUGAGAGGGAGGUUAUACGGGAAGUGCAGUCAUAAUAUUCUCUCCAUUCUGUCUUUAUAUAUCCAGAUACAAGCACUUUGGGACAGUGGGAACCUGAUCAGAAUUAUGCAGAGAUAAGUCACAAUGACCAGAGAGAGACUCCUGAGCAAACAGACAGCAGACUGACCACAGUGUACGAUGAGCUCCAGUUGUGCAGGGACCCUGCUGCUGCAGAGUGCUGACAAACUGACGGACAGAGAGGCAGAUGUAAAGGUGUACUUCUGUACAAGUUUCAGGAUAUAUAAGGAGUGAGCUUUUAGACGUUAGGGAAGAAAAAGAAGAAACCCUCUUAGGAUUUUGCUGUUGAAGAUAUCUAAGGGCUGUUGAGGAGAGAGCAACGCAGGACAGCUAUAAUCAAGCUGGAGUGGCGCAUUCCCUCUGCGCGCCACUCCAGGAUCUGGAUAUGGAGAACGGAGUGAUGUACGCGGUGUGGACUAGGCCCAAGAGUUGUGGCGGCGGGACUGAUGGCGAAGAGGUGUUCAUGUGCAUCCCUCAUCAUACAGAAAAGCUGGUGAAAGAGUUUAAUUGCUUUUACGACAUGCUUGGAGCCAUGAACUGCACCUGGCGGCCAACAGACGGGACGCGGGGUCCCUCCACGCUACAGAACACCUUCCUGCUGGACCCACGCAAGAACCUGAAGCCUCCCCCCCCUCACCUCAGUGUCAGUGAGGAGAGGCACAUGCUGCGGCUGCACUGCAAACCCCCCGACGUGUUCGAAGACUGCUGGAAGUACACGGACCGCUACAGAAGCAGCGGGUCCUCUGACUGGCAGGAGAAGUAUAGUUUACCGGACACAUCAGUGAACAUCCCAUACAACAGGCACUCGCGGUACGAAGUGCGGGUGAAGGCUGUCACCAAGGACAUCUGCGGCAUUGGAGCCAGUGACCGGAGCAAAGUCACGUCUUUCGAAAGUCCGGGUCCUGAUCCUGUCCCAGAUUCCCAAACCAAUGCAGCUCUUCAAAGAGCUCAUCAACAGCAAGGAGGAGGGAUCAAAUCCUGCAGAAAACGAGAUGGCUAUAUUUAGGGCAUGGGUGGUAAUUAGAAUCUCUAUUACUUGUAAAAGUAGGAAAAGUAAUACAUAGAAGUUCAACGUUAUAAGUUUCCUUUCAUUUUUAUGUAUUUUAUUUUUCAGUAAGAUACUAUAGAAGGUAGCAUUGUUAGGUGAUUUAAAGUUAUAAGUUUCCUUUCAUUUUUAUGUCUUUUAUUUUUCAGUAAGAUACUAUAUAAGUUAGGAAUAAAGUAGAAAAGUUUAGUGGUGUUCGUACCCAUUGUAUAAAUAGGAGUAGUAGCUUUUAUCUCCGUGAAGGGGGAGCCAUAGAAUAUUAGAUGGGCAUUGUAAUGUUUCUUUCUAUCAAUGAAGAAACUUGGGCUCUUGCAAUUCAUUUAUUCAAGACUGGUUGUGGCAAGUGGCAGCAAACAGCAUACAUGUCUCUCAACAUACUAGAUCUCCCUACAAAUGUUUGGGGUGUGGCUUUUGUAGAGGGUCAAAUGAGGACACCUAGUGGUCAACAUAAAUCAAUGCAUAACCAUAUAAGUCAUCACAUAUCACAACAUCCUCUUUUCUUUAAAUGUAAACCACACAAUGCAUUUAAACAUUUGUGACUGUCAA